GUUUUUGUUUAGGAAAACAUGUAUACAUGUCCAUUGUUUAAAAAGAUUUAUUCAUUUGUUUGAAAGGCAGAGCCACAAAGAGGCAGAUGCAAAGACAGAAAGAGAGAGAGAUCCUCCAUCCACUGGUUCACAACCCAAAUAUCUGCAAUGGCCAGAGUUGAGCUGAUCCGAAGCCAGAAGACAGGAGCUUCUUCCAGGUCUCCCAUGCAGUUCAAAGAACACUCCAGUAGCAAUGAGCACUCAGCAUACAGAUGAUGGUUUCCAACGGCUUCUCCAACGCAAGAAGGCAGAGCUUUUAGGAGAAAGGAGUACUUCAGAACUGAGGCAAGGAAUAUACAAGGAUCAUGCUUGCUCCUGAAUAGUGUGGAAAUGAUGAGCCCUGUUAGAAUGCAAACCGAUCCAACAUCCACUUCACACUCCCAAAUGUUUGCUCCGCCAAGGGAUGCCUGAUUGGGCUUGGGGUUUUUCAAGAGAUGUGUUUGUCACCUUCUCCACCAAUUCUUCUGGAAUAGAAGAGGAGGGUAGCUACAGGUAACAGAUUAUUUUUAAUUCCGCCUUGUUAUUUGGAACUGAUUUCCCAUAUGUUGUUGUUGUUCAAUUCCUUGCAUGAAUUUUCUCAAAUA